GGCAGGCAGGCAGUCAUUUCUGCAGGUGAGGCUUAAAAAACCUCCCCCGCCCUCCUUCCAGGGUGCAUGGACUGAUAUCUGUAGUUUGGGUACAAAACGGGGCAUGGGCCAGAAAUGCAUGGCCAUGGAUUCUGCUUUCUGCCUUGUACCAAGAGCCAAGUUGGGAAACAUCCAGAGUGUUUUUGACUACAGUGUCAUUGGCCAUGCUCUCUGGGGAUACUAGGACCUGUAGUAAUAAAAAUGAACUUUUCCAAACUCCAGCACUGUUCCUGUUUCGAUGA
rnacentral:lncRNA from 11 species